rnacentral:rRNA from 1 species
UACGUAGGGUGCAAGCGUUGUCCGGAGUUAUUGGGCGUAAAGAGCUCGUAGGCGGUUUGUUGCGUCGGCUGUGAAAUCCCGAGGCUCAACCUCGGGUCUGCAGUCGAUACGAGCAAACUAGAGUGUUGCAGGGGAGACUGGAAUUCCUGGUGUAGCGGUGAAAUGCGCAGAUAUCAGGAGGAACACCGAUGGCGAAGGCAGGUCUCUGGGCCGUUACUGACGCUGAGGAGCGAAAGCGUGGGGAGCAAACAGG